AACGAACGCUGGCGGCGCGCCUAAUACAUGCAAGUCGAGCGAGAAGACGUAGCAAUACGUUUGUAAAGCGGCGAACGGGUGAGGAAUACAUGGGUAACCUACCCUCGAGUGGGGAAUAACUAGCCGAAAGGUUAGCUAAUACCGCGUACGCUCCUUGGACUUCGGUUCAGGGAGGAAAGCGAUACCGUGGGUAUCGCGCUCUUGGAUGGGCCCAUGUCCUAUCAGCUUGUUGGUGAGGUAACGGCUCACCAAGGCUUCGACGGGUAGCUGGUCUGAGAGGACGAUCAGCCACACUGGCACUGCGACACGGGCCAGACUCCUACGGGAGGCAGCAGUAAGGAAUAUUGCGCAAUGGGCGAAAGCCUGACGCAGCGACGCCGCGUGGGGGAUGAAGGUCUUCGGAUUGUAAA
rnacentral:rRNA from 1 species